AAAACUAUAGUCAAAUUUAUGACAUAUGAGUUGCAUUCAUAAAGUGUUUAUUAAACUAGUUUUA
rnacentral:tRNA from 1 species